GGAGACGUGGCCGAGAGGCUGAAGGCACUUCCCUGCUAAGGAAGCAUGUGGGCUAAAACCUGCAUCGAGGGUUCGAAUCCCUCCGUCUCCGCCA
rnacentral:tRNA from 2 species